AAAGUGCCGUUUACAAUUCGGCACUCUUCCCACGGAACAGGGAUUCAACGAAUAGCUGGGUGAAAAAUUAUGUUAGACUUUCAACUUUACCCUUCUCUUUUUUCGUUCUUCUUCCUAUUUUCUUCCAAACUUGUCUCCCUCUUUUUCAUGCUUCUAUUCUCACCAACUCUAUCUCCCUUUAACAAACCUUAACAAGGCCUUCAAUUAAGAAUCAUUUUUCUAACUCCAACCCUCAACAAGGCUUUCGAUUGAGGUGGAAAUUUGAGAAGAGAAACAACCGGCAGUCCUCCCUCAGCUUUCUUGUUAGUGAAUAAGCAUGUCUCAUCGCAAGUUUGAGCAUCCGAGGCACGGUUCAUUGGGCUUUCUCCCGAGGAAAAGAGCCUCCCGACAUCGAGGAAAAGACCUCAAUUUUGUUGCAGAAAACCUUGGUGUUGAGUAUUUCAAAGCGAUUGUUGCAAGAUGAGGGGUGGAGACUUUGAGGCCUGCUUUAUAGAGGUUAUACAUGACAAGGGCUUUUGCAUAUAGAGAUGCUUUUAAGAGUUUCAUAGAAGGAUAUCAAGAGGGUAUCCAGCAGAUCAUGGAGAAAAAGGAAGAUUCUUCUAAAGCACAACAAGAAGGCAAUACUGAUAAAAAUUCAACUUGAUGGCUGAUAAGUGCAUAAUCGAAGAUGCAUGUGAGUACUUCUCUAGCAUACCUAUUGUAGAUACAAGUUUAGAGAUUUGGUGGAGCUGGGU